UACGUAGGGGGGCUAGCGUUAUCCGGAAUUACUGGGCGUAAAGGGUGCGUAGGUGGUUUCUUAAGUCAGAGGUGAAAGGCUACGGCUCAACCGUAGUAAGCCUUUGAAACUGGGAAACUUGAGUGCAGGAGAGGAGAGUGGAAUUCCUAGUGUAGCGGUGAAAUGCGUAGAUAUUAGGAGGAACACCAGUUGCGAAGGCGGCUCUCUGGACUGUAACUGACACUGAGGCACGAAAGCGUGGGGAGCAAACAGG
rnacentral:rRNA from 1 species